GAUGAACGCUGGCGGCGUGCCUAAUACAUGCAAGUCGAGCGAACAGAUGAGGAGCUUGCUCCUCUGACGUUAGCGGCGGACGGGUGAGUAACACGUGGAUAACCUACCUAUAAGACUGGGAUAACUUCGGGAAACCGGAGCUAAUACCGGAUAAUAUAUUGAACCGCAUGGUUCAAUAGUGAAAGACGGUUUUGCUGUCACUUAUAGAUGGAUCCGCGCCGCAUUAGCUAGUUGGUAAGGUAACGGCUUACCAAGGCAACGAUGCGUAGCCGACCUGUGAGGGGGAUCGGCCACACUGGAACUGAGACACGGUCCAGACUCCUACGGGAGGCAGCAGUAGGGAAUCUGCCGCAAUGGGCGAAAGCCUGACGGAGCAACGCCGCGUGAGUGAUGAAGGUCUUCGGAUCGUAAAACUCUGUUAUUAGGGAAGAACAAAUGUGUAAGUAACUAUGCACGUCUUGACGGUACCUAAUCAGAAAGCCACGGCUAACUACGUG
rnacentral:rRNA from 1 species